UUUGCUUUCUCUCUCUGUCUAUAUGUGUAUGUGUGAGUAUAUGUGUACUUGGGGGAGGAUUUGAGAGUAAGUUGAAGCCAUUGUGACACUUCGCUGCUGAGUAUUUCAGCAACUGUCAUCUAAGAAUAAGGUCAUUCUCCUCUAUAACCACAACAUAAUUAUCACAUUUUGGAAAUUUAACAUUAAUAGAAUACCAUCAUGCAGAUUAAAUUCAUAUUUUCCCAAUUGUCUGAGUAAUGAAAUUUAUAGCUCCUUGUUUUAUUUUGUUUUGUUUUCCCUCAUCCAGUUUUGCUCCUCCCCCAUCCCCUGUUCUAGGUCUGGUUUGCUGCCUCUACUUCCUCAUUUCCACUCUGAUUUCAGAAAGGGCAGAAGUUUCAAGCUGUACAUCAAAACCUGUUUCUUCUAUCUGAGCACAGAGCUUGUCCUCAUUCCGGGCGCCCUUUGAAGUUGGGUGUGUGCCUGUGUGGCCAACUUCUGAUGGGUACAACCUUCAAGGUCAAGGUUUUUAAGAAGUAGAGAGAUCUCAUCUGCAUUCUCUCCUUUUACCAGCUGAAUGUGGACAAUGAAGAUAAGGCUCUAGGGAACAGUGGAGACACAAGAUAGAAGGAGCCCUGUGUCUUCAAAUCACUGGACAGAGGAAAGUGUCACGCCAACCAGGGACACAUGCCUUGGGUUGUUAGCUUAAUGAAUGUUUACAGUAAUCCCAGGAGGGAGGAAGAGUGGCUCAUUACUUCCUCACAUAAAUUUUGAGACAAUACAGAACUUCCCAAAGUCACAAAGCCUGGCUAGCUAGGGCUAACCCAUAAAUGAGGUAAGUAACCUUACUCACUCCUUCCAACUUCUCUUUUACUACACUUUCUCCUUUACUACAUCUUGAGAAAAUACCAGUCCUGGCUUAGGUGAAAGGGAGAGGGAGGGGGAUUUGUAUUCACUGCUCCUCACUGUUCAUUGAAAACUUGGGGAGUGUUGACAUUGUUGUGGGGUGAGGUAGGAGAGCUCAUAUCGCACCUGUUCAACAAUGAUAUAUUCAACAAAUGUAUAUUGUAUUCAACAUGUAUAUAUAAGAUAAAUAUAACACACACACAGAUAAAACAAAUAUAUGUACAUAUAUAUUGCUGGGUGCUGAGGACAACCUUGUUCUCAACAAGCUUAUGAUUUCCUUGGGGAAGGCUGAAGGGUGAACAAUUACAAUACACUGGAAAAGUGCUGUGAUGACAGGAGUGUGGGCCUCUGUGGGAAGGAACCUCUAACCCAAAUUUAAGGGCAAAUGGGGAAGGCUUCCUGGAGAAAGAGGCAUCUAUGCUGAGACCUAUAGGACAGGAGGGAACAAAACAGGAGAAGAAAGAAGGCAAGAAAAGAGAGUUCCAGGCUGCGGAAGCAGCACCACACUAGCCGUCUGUACCAGGAGAGAUGGUUACAUACGGCCCAUUGACACUACACUGGCUUCACCAGAUGAAGCGUUAAACAGCCCUUUCCAGAAAGUUUUCUCCUCUCUACUACAGGGCCUGAUUUUCUCGACAUUGAUCCAUUGACAAAUGUUUCUAUCAAUAAACCAAUCAGAUUUAUUAUUUACUACACAGAAGGCACCGGGUGAGGCCUAGAGGAGACUUCCAAGAGCUCUGAAACUCUGCUUCUAUUUUCAGAGUUUACUGAGUGUGGGUUUGGAACACUCUCAGAGGGAAAAAAAAAAAAGAGAGAGAGGGAGAGAGAGAGAAAUUUAAUAGUAAUCCAGACAUCAAAGGAGGAGGAAGAAUGAUAGGAGGCUGAAACACUCAGCCUGGCUUUAGACCCUCACUCAGCCACACCCUCACUAUGCACGCAUGCUUGAACUACUCAACCUUUCUGAACUCCGGCUCCCCAUUCAUCGAGUGGGAAAAAUAAAAGGUCCCUUUCAGGAAGAUGGCAGGGAUCAAAUAGGGACCGCCUGUACAGCACCUAGCAUGCUGCCCAGCACAGAGCAAGCUCUCGAUAAAUGUCUUAAUGAUGAUCAUAUUAUUAUAAUUUCCGUUAACUCGCCCCAUAAAUACUUGGGUGCCUCCUCCGUGGUGCCUCUUGUACUUUUUAUUUCAGGACUCCUGGGUUCAUGACACACCAACCAUCACCCCAGCACCUGACUCCUCUUCUUCCAUUGGACUCUGCCCUCAAGCCUGCAGCAUAUAGCCAAAGAAACACAACUCAUGAGCCCUGGGGAAGCUGGUUCACCUGUCUAGAAGCCGUCCUCAAAGUCUCCUGGGCACUUCCCCAAGUCUCCCCGGCCUGUUUGUCUCUGCACACACAGAUUGCUUUCUCCUGACCGCUUGCAGCCCUGUCUUUACUUGGCCAUUAAUUGUACAUCAUCCCUGACAUCUUUUACCGUGUUCUGCUAUAUUUUUAUUUAUUAUUGAUUCUACACAUGCCUAACAUUUGCUAAGUCCAAACCAUGUGCUGACAGCACUUAGCAAUGGUCUUGCAGAAGGGAUAAAAGACUAUUAAAUUGGGUUGAAACAUCUAGUUUUAAACCGUUAUAGAGUACAUGCUCAAACAGAAUCAGGAACCAAAGGCAUAUUUGUUUAAAACAAAAAAACAAAAAACAAAAAAUGCUAGCAUCUAGUCAAUUACCCAGUAAAAAACAAGACUCAUGUGAGAGUUUUAAAAUAACAACACUGAAGGCAACUCUUAUUUAUUUGUUUGUUUGUUUAAUUCAUGGGUGAUGGUGAGGAGGUCUCCUGUGUUUUUAACCCCGGUGCCUGGGGCAACCGGAGCACCAUUCGGAGAGGCUGGAGGAUGACGGGAGAGCAGGUAUGAUGGUGAUGGUGAGACACAGUAAGUUUAAGUUGCAGACAAGUUAAUUUCAAGGCCAUAGUAGGCCACACAAGUGAAAAUGUCCAAUCAAGCAGCUGGCAGUCUGGGAAUGGAGUUGAGGAGAGAGGACAGGGCAGAAGUGGAUAGAGGCAUCCUUCCCAGAAGAGAUGGCCACACUUUAAGCAGAAGUCUUUUGGUGCCAGACAUCCAAGGAAGGGGCACACAUUUACCAGGGUGAGUAACACAUCGCCAGGCCUCCUUGGACUUCUUUGCCCAAAUUGGAGAAAACUGACUGAGACCCAAGAGGUCUGGGGCUAAAGCCCCGGGGGCUUACCUUUGAAUUUUCCUGUUCUAUCUUAAAACAUCCUGUGAAUUUUCCAUUCCACUCCACAAUACACAAAUAAUAUUUUAAAUUACUUUUGAGUAAAACUGACUGUGAUGGAUGACAGGUGGCAUUUAGCCUGUGGCUUCACAUAGGACAAAUUAUCCCAGGCAUAAGAGGGAGUUCACACUUCAGCUUGAAAAGCAAGGCAUUCAGCAAGGAGCCAAGUGUUUGUUUUUGCUUUUGUGUUUUUACCCCUCUUUGGCAGGGAUCAGAUCAUGAGAUUGGCUAGCCAAUUAGCAGGGCAAGCAUGGGAGUGAGUGGAACCCCAGACAGGGAAGUUUUGAUGAGGGUGAGGCCAUCAGGAAAGGUCUGGUUGCUGAAAGGGUACGUAGCUGAAGGGAUUGCCUGAGUUACAUCACGUUUUGGGGCCUUACUGGACAGACUGAGGGAUGCCAGAAGGGAGAAUGAUGUGUUGGGAUCCUGGGUCUUGGCAGUGUUAUUGACCAUAAGUGGAAGGGGAGGGAGAAUGACCGGGGCUAGGCCUUCAGGGCGCUGUUUGCUUUGGGGCUAUGUGAACCAAGGACUCUAGAAGGUUCUCUGCAGGGCCACUAACAGGCUGAGAUUUCUCUCCAGACUGGAAACAGAUUGCUGGAGCUUCCGUCCCACGGCAUAUUUCACUAACAGAUUGGGUGCGAUCUUCCCUGAGAUGGGGGUGUUUCAAAAGCAGAGGAGGAAAGGGAAGCUGGAAGUGGGGGAAGGCAGCCUUCAGCUUCAGUGUGGCUUCAGGACAGUUCUUGCAGAUGUGGGCAGACCGACAACUGCCGGUUCUCUGAGCCUCUGGAGAUUUAGCAAACCUGGGACGAAGGUGGGGGCAAUGCAGAUUAUACAAGAGGAUCCCGAGGGCCUUCUGGACACAGAGCCUCGCUCAGGAUGGGUUUACUGUGCGUGUGAAAGGCACACAUUUCUUUCCUUGCACCAAAUUAAACCAAUUUGAUCAAAAUUUGUAAUGCAGAAGAGCAUAAUUAAAUUGAAGAUUUUAAUUAGGCACAGUUUUGAUGAAACUUAACGGAGCCGGCAGGAAUACUCUUGCUGUCUAUUAGACAUAAUCCUGCCUGGUGAAGAGCUCUUUAGUUGACUGUCUUUAAUGACUGCCCAGCACUCAGCCUCCUCACUGGUGCUCCAGCCAGCCUAGAAGCAGAGAGGUGAGAGGGGCCUGGGGAGAGGAAGGAGUGGGGUGUACAUCCACAGGGUGGCAGCUCUUCUCAAAGGAAUGGUGCUGCUAAACUUUGGGGGUACCCAAUUAUCCCCUUUUCAUCUGUCACAGUGGAGAAAUCGUGCAGAAUUAUGUUGAGGGCAGUUUCACAGUAAUGAGUCAGGAAGGAGAGGGCUCCCCACAGUCUGAGAGGAACCUCUGCUGGCCUUCUUUGCUAAUUGCUGGCACCUCUCAAUGACACUUCACAAA